rnacentral:rRNA from 1 species
CAGCUUGCUGGGUGGAUUAGUGGCGAACGGGUGAGUAACACGUGAGUAACCUGCCCUUAACUCUGGGAUAAGCCUGGGAAACUGGGUCUAAUACCGGAUAGGAGCGUCCACCGCAUGGUGGGUGUUGGAAAGAUUUAUCGGUUUUGGAUGGACUCGCGGCCUAUCAGCUUGUUGGUGAGGUAAUGGCUCACCAAGGCGACGACGGGUAGCCGGCCUGAGAGGGUGACCGGCCACACUGGGACUGAGACACGGCCCAGACUCCUACGGGAGGCAGCAGUGGGGAAUAUUGCACAAUGGGCGCAAGCCUGAUGCAGCGACGCCGCGUGAGGGAUGACGGCCUUCGGGUUGUAAACCUCUUUCAGUAGGGAAGAAGCGAAAGUGACGGUACCUGCAGAAGAAGCACCGGCUAACUACGUGCCAGCAGCCGCGGUAAUACGUAGGGUGCGAGCGUUAUCCGGAAUUAUUGGGCGUAAAGAGCUCGUAGGCGGUUUGUCGCGUCUGUCGUGAAAGUCCGGGGCUUAACCCCGGAUCUGCGGUGGGUACGGGCAGACUAGAGUGCAGUAGGGGAGACUGGAAUUCCUGGUGUAGCGGUGGAAUGCGCAGAUAUCAGGAGGAACACCGAUGGCGAAGGCAGGUCUCUGGGCUGUAACUGACGCUGAGGAGCGAAAGCAUGGGGAGCGAACAGGAUUAGAUACCCUGGUAGUCCAUGCCGUAAACGUUGGGCACUAGGUGUGGGGACCAUUCCACGGUUUCCGCGCCGCAGCUAACGCAUUAAGUGCCCCGCCUGGGGAGUACGGCCGCAAGGCUAAAACUCAAAGGAAUUGACGGGGGCCCGCACAAGCGGCGGAGCAUGCGGAUUAAUUCGAUGCAACGCGAAGAACCUUACCAAGGCUUGACAUGUUCUCGAUCGCCGUAGAGAUACGGUUUCCCCUUUGGGGCCGGGUUCACAGGUGGUGCAUGGUUGUCGUCAGCUCGUGUCGUGAGAUGUUGGGUUAAGUCCCGCAACGAGCGCAACCCUCGUUCCAUGUUGCCAGCACGUAAUGGUGGGGACUCAUGGGAGACUGCCGGGGUCAACUCGGAGGAAGGUGAGGACGACGUCAAAUCAUCAUGCCCCUUAUGUCUUGGGCUUCACGCAUGCUACAAUGGCCGGUACAAUGGGUUGCGAUACUGUGAGGUGGAGCUAAUCCCAAAAAGCCGGUCUCAGUUCGGAUUGGGGUCUGCAACUCGACCCCAUGAAGUCGGAGUCGCUAGUAAUCGCAGAUCAGCAACGCUGCGGUGAAUACGUUCCCGGGCCU